AGUAGGGAAUAUUGGGCAAUGGACGCAAGUCUGACCCAGCCAUGCCGCGUGCAGGAUGAAGGCCUUCUGGGUUGUAAACUGCUUUUAUCUAGGAAGAAAAAACCCUUGCGAGGGGAACUGACGGUACUAGAUGAAUAAGCACCGGCUAACUCCGUGCCAGCAGCCGCGGUAAUACGGAGGGUGCAAGCGUUGUCCGGAUUUAUUGGGUUUAAAGGGUGCGUAGGCGGCCUUAUAAGUCAGUGGUGAAAGCCCACAGCUCAACUGUGGAACUGCCAUUGAUACUGUAAGGCUUGAGUACAGACGAGGUAGGCGGAAUUGAUGGUGUAGCGGUGAAAUGCAUAGAUACCAUCAAGAACACCGAUUGCGUAGGCAGCUUACUAGGCUGUAACUGACGCUGAGGCACGAAAGCGUGGGGAGCGAA
rnacentral:rRNA from 1 species